UACGUAGGGACCAAGCGUUGUUCGGAAUCAUUGGGCGUAAAGAGCGCGUAGGCGGUCCGGUAAGUCGGUUGUGAAAACUGGGGGCUCAACCCUCAGAGGCCGACCGAUACUGUCGGGCUAGAGUCCGGAAGAGGCGAGUGGAAUUCCUGGUGUAGCGGUGAAAUGCGUAGAUAUCAGGAGGAACACCGGUGGUGUAGACGGCUUUCUGGACCGUAACUGACGCUGAGACACGAAAGCGUGGGUAGCAAACAGG
rnacentral:rRNA from 1 species